UCGGGAAUUUUGGGCAAUGGGCGAAAGCCUGACCCAGCAACGCCGCGUGAAGGAUGAAGUCUUUCGGGAUGUAAACUUCGUAAAAAUAGGAAGAAUAAAUGACGGUACUAUUUGUAAGGUCCGGCUAACUACGUGCCAGCAGCCGCGGUAAUACGUAGGGACCAAGCGUUGUUCGGAUUUACUGGGCGUAAAGGGCGCGUAGGCGGCGUGGUAAGUCACUUGUGAAAUCUCCGAGCUUAACUCGGAACGGUCAAGUGAUACUGCUGUGCUAGAGUACAGAAGGGGCAAUCGGAAUUCUUGGUGUAGCGGUGAAAUGCGUAGAUAUCAAGAGGAACACCUGAGGUGAAGACGGGUUGCUGGGCUGAUACUGACGCUGAGGCGCGAAAGCUAGGGUAGCAAACGGGAUUAGAUACCCUAGUAGUCCCUGAGCGGGCUGGCAAGGCGCAU
rnacentral:rRNA from 1 species